ACUUUCUUAUACAUAAUAUUUCCAUUCUCCAAUAUACCAAUAAAACUCGCAUCAAAGGCACCUUCAUCUCGCGAGAGUACCUCCUCUUUUGUACCUCCAUAAUCUCGCUUUACAGUGGUACCUCCCCAAAAUCCUUAAAUCCUUCAACAAUCUUUGGCAAUGGUUCCUCCCUCAACCUAUCUCGAUUCCGUUCAUGGUUAGGAGGUAC
rnacentral:lncRNA from 1 species